AAACAUGGCUCUUCGAGAAAUCUACAUGAAGAGUCGGACCUGCCCAGUGAUAUAUAAAAUAUUUAACGGCCGCGGUACUCUGACCGUGCAAAGGUAGCAUAAUCAUUUGCUCUAUAAUUGAGGGCUGGAAUGAAAGGUUUGACAAGGGCCGCCCUGUCUCUACAAAAAUUACUGGAACUUACUUUUUAGGUGAAGAAUCCUAAAUAAAAUUAAAAGACAAGAAGACCCUAUCGAGCUUGAAACUUAUCUGUGAUAUCAAGAAAAUAGAAUAUAUUUCCUUUCAUGGAAAAUUUUGGUUGGGGCGACAGAGGAACAACAAAAGCUUCUUUUUACAUAAACAUAUAUUUAUAGAGAUCCACAUUUUUGUGAUCAAAAGAAUUAGUUACCGUAGGGAUAACAGCAUAAUCUUUUUAGAGAGUUCUUAUCGAAAAAAAGGUUUGUGACCUCGAUGUUGGACUAGAAUAUCCUGACAGGUGCAGAAGCCUUCAAGGGUUGGUCUGUUCGACCAUUAAAAUUCUACAUGAUCUGA
rnacentral:rRNA from 1 species